UACGGGGGGGGUAAGCGUUGUUCGGAAUUACUGGGCGUAAAGGGCUCGUAGGCGGCCAACUAAGUCAUACGUGAAAUCCCUCAGCUUAACUGGGGAACUGCGUGUGAUACUGGAUGGCUUGGAUUUGGGAGAGGGAUGCGGAAUUCCAGGUGUAGCGGUGAAAUGCGUAGAUAUCUGGAGGAACACCGGUGGCGAAGGCGGCAUCCUGGACCGGUACUGACGCUGAGGCGCGAAAGCGUGGGUAGCAAACGGG
rnacentral:rRNA from 1 species